GGAAGUAAACUAUUUGCUUUUUGAAAAAACUUUUUAUAUAAAAAGUUUCCUUGAAAAAUAAAAUAAAUCUGUUAUCAAAAUUUAUAAUAAUUAGUACUUAAUUACUCAUUUACCAAUUGAUUGCCUCGUUUUACAUACGGUGGGUUUGGUACCAUUCGCAUGUUCAAGAAAUCAACGGAUGCUCGCGGAUUAGAGCUACCCGCCGGCCGCCGCCCCUUGCUGUUUCGCCGCUCGGUCGACGGGCGGCGCAGCGGUUCUGCGUCUUGCGGCAUUGACAACCUCCUCUUCUCCCCUCGUCGCUUCCUAGUUAAUCCGUCCAUAAAUCGAACCAGUUUCUAUCUCAGCUCAUCAAAUCCUAAAUGCAAUUUGGUUGAUUUGGUUAAACCUCACUGCGCCGCCGCCGCCGCGGGAAUUCCUGCGGUGAGCUUUUGCCUCUGUCGUCCGCCGCUGCAGACUGGCGAUUGAAUCAGGUAUGCGUUUUAAGAUUAAGCUCUCGCUGGGCGAUUGAAGCAGCAGGCACCAUGCCGGCUGGGCGCGGGCGGCGGCUGGCGGCGUUGCGGCUCCGUAGGGCGGCGCUGGCUUGGGAGAAGCGCGGAGAGAUGUCUGGCGGCGCGGGGGUGUCUCAUCCGCCGUGACCGGCAGCGGCAGGGAAGGGAGGCGCGUGGGUGGAGGAUGCCAGGAGGGCAGGCGGGAGGCUGGUGGUGCGGCGACCAGGGCGGCUGCGUGCGGCGUCCGCGACGAACUGGAGGCUGGCGCCGACGAGUCGCAUGGAAGACCGGAAGAGAAACCGUGUCGGUGUCAAUUGCACGCCCAGGAGAAAGACUAAUGAAUAUGGACACGUUUUCUUUAUUCACAUGCACUAGACUUGUUCAAACAACAACUGAAGUCAACAAGUCUCAACUCUGCAGUUUCCAAGGCUUAUAUGAUAUCACCAUAAGAAGUUCUCACAAGAAAAAAAAGGGACUCCAUUAGAGAAUUUCUCACCUGCAGUAGCGAGCUCAAGUGGCAACUGAAGUCAAGUAAGCCUGCACAUUCCAAGGCUAUAUAAUAUCACAAACAGUCCUCACUAGAAAAGAAAAACAAGAACUCCAUCUUAGAAGAGAUAUGUUUCCAUCAGUUCUUGGAGCCAAAUCUCCCCCUGCUGCUUCUCAUCCUGCAUCAUUUCUUCUCUGCAGCCUCCUCAUCUUUCUAUCCUGCAACACAAUAACACCCUCAUCAGCACAGCCCAGCAACAGAUCAGAGACCGAUUUACAAGCUCUACUCUGCUUCAAGCAAAGCAUAACCAACGACCCCACCGGUGCUUUCAGCUCAUGGAACAUAUCGCUACACUUCUGCAGAUGGAAUGGGGUCACAUGUGGCAGGACAUCUCCAGCUCAUGUUGUCUCCAUAAACCUUACCUCCAUGAAGCUCAGUGGAGUUCUGCCAGCUUGCAUGGGCAACCUCACCUCGUUGCAAACUCUGGUUCUUGACAGAAACAAUCUUGAAGAUCCCUGCUAGUUUGUUCAAUGGCUCAUCCAAACUUGUCAUCCACGAAUAUCUACACGGCAAUACUAUUUGGGCUGGAUAUAGGAUACCGAAUAUGUAUAGAAUAUCUUAUUUGUAUCUCGGGUUUGUUUCUUAACUUGUACAACAAGGAAACACCUUGAGACUUAGUCGGUUACGGCUGUAUUUAAUCUAUAUCUGUGU